AGAGAAUAGGGAAAAGGUAGGGUGUGUUGGAGGCAGAAAUUGUUUAGGUAAGGAAGAGACUAUGAAAGGACUAAAGUGCUCAUCUUUCCAAGGGGAAAGAGCUUAAAGAAGAAGCCUGCAAUAGAAGCCUGAGAGGAAAUUAUAGGUGGAGCUGGCAAAGUCAUUUGGGAACUAUGCAUGAAGAGUAGUGAGUCUCUGAGAAAAGGAAGGAAGAUGCUCCCAGGUCCAGAUAGGGAGGGGAGGAUUGUUUACUGCUGAAGGGGGAGACUUUGGUUCAGAGGGCUAAAUUGGCCAGUUAAUGAGAAAACUGGUGCACUGGCUGACUAUGGUAAUAAAAAAUGUUCAGCACCCAAGGGGCUAGAGGAGACCAGGAGCUGGGGACAGAAGAAUAAGCUCUCUCCCUCCCCACCCACACUGCGUGUAGAUAGAGAGAGAGAGAGACCUUUUGUCCAACAAUGUUAUUGGUUAUUCUCCUAAAGACAUCACCACCAAGCAUCUGAAGCGCUAAUCAAAGGGGAGAGCCUAGCUGAAGGACAACCAGCUAACCUGUG